rnacentral:rRNA from 1 species
AGUCGAGCGGUAGCACAGGGGAGCUUGCUCCUGGGUGACGAGCGGCGGACGGGUGAGUAAUGUCUGGGAAACUGCCUGAUGGAGGGGGAUAACUACUGGAAACGGUAGCUAAUACCGCAUAACGUCGCAAGACCAAAGAGGGGGACCUUCGGGCCUCUUGCCAUCAGAUGUGCCCAGAUGGGAUUAGCUAGUAGGUGGGGUAAUGGCUCACCUAGGCGACGAUCCCUAGCUGGUCUGAGAGGAUGACCAGCCACACUGGAACUGAGACACGGUCCAGACUCCUACGGGAGGCAGCAGUGGGGAAUAUUGCACAAUGGGCGCAAGCCUGAUGCAGCCAUGCCGCGUGUGUGAAGAAGGCCUUCGGGUUGUAAAGCACUUUCAGCGAGGAGGAAGGUGGUGAACUUAAUACGUUCAUCAAUUGACGUUACUCGCAGAAGAAGCACCGGCUAACUCCGUGCCAGCAGCCGCGGUAAUACGGAGGGUGCAAGCGUUAAUCGGAAUUACUGGGCGUAAAGCGCACGCAGGCGGUUCGUUAAGUCAGAUGUGAAAUCCCCGGGCUCAACCUGGGAACUGCAUUUGAACUGGCAAGCUAGAGUCUCGUAGAGGGGGGUAGAAUUCCAGGUGUAGCGGUGAAAUGCGUAGAGAUCUGGGAGGAAUACCGGUGGCGAGGCGGCCCUCUGGACGAAGACUGACGCUCAGGUGCGAAAGCGUGGGGAGCAACAUGAUUAGAUACUCUGGUAGUCCACGCUGUAAACGAUGUCGAUUGGAGGUUGUGCCCUGAGGCGUGGCUUUCGGAGCUAACCGCGUUAAUCCGACCGUCCUGGG